CCUACGGGAGGCAGCAGUGGGGAAUAUUGGGCAAUGGGCGCAAGCCUGACCCAGCAACGCCGCGUGAAGGAAGAAGGCUUUCGGGUUGUAACCUUCUUUUGUCAGGGAAGAGUAGAAGACGGUACCUGACGAAUAAGCCCCGGCUAACUACGUGCCAGCAGCCGCGGUAAUACGUAGGUGGCAAGCGUUGUCCGGAUUUACUGGGUGUAAAGGGCGUGUAGCCGGGUUGACAAGUCAGAUGUGAAAUCCUGCGGCUUAACCGCAGAACUGCAUUUGAAACUGUUGAUCUUGAGUACUGGAGAGGCAGACGGAAUUCCUAGUGUAGCGGUGAAAUGCGUAGAUAUUAGGAGGAACACCAGUGGCGAAGGCGGUCUGCUGGACAGCAACUGACGGUGAGGCGCGAAAGCGUGGGGAGCAAACAGGAUUAGAUACCCCAGUAGUC
rnacentral:rRNA from 1 species